rnacentral:tmRNA from 1 species
GGGGGCGACUUGGUUUCGACGGGGAGAAUGAGUCCUGCGUUGCGUGCCGAGGUCCCUACUGGCUCGUAAAACAAGUAGGGAAAAGACAACUGCCGACUAUGAGCCGGCACUAGCUGCAGCCUAAUGCAGCUCGCCACCAGCGGCCUGCGCCUGCCGGGGUGCUGAUUGGCGCAAUUACGGUGGGCUAGCGGGUCUCUUGCUCGAAGGGAUUCGCGAAACAUCAGGGCUGGCCGGACGGGAAUCCCGCUCACCGGAGUCCCGGACGGCGAGAUCAAACGGUGAGAUACGCACGUAGAUACGCUUGAUGAAUCUCUUCCGGACGCGGGUUCGAUUCCCGCCGCCUCCACCA